rnacentral:misc_RNA from 1 species
GAUGAAGAACGUAGCGAAAUGCGAUAGGUAAUGUGAAUUGCAGAAUUCAGUGAAUCAUCGAAUCUUUGAACGCACAUUGCGCCCAUUAGUAUUCUAGUGGGCAUGCCUGUUCGAGCGUCAUUAAGUCCACUUAAGCCCUGCUUAGUGUUGGGAGACUGCUCCAGCGGUGCUACCCUGUAGCUACCCUGCAGCUCCUCAAAGACAGCGGCGGAGUUGUGGUAUCCUCUGAGCUUAGUAACUUGUUCUAGCUUUCGAGUACACCACUUCCCCUGCCGUAAAACCCUUAAUUUUUAAUGGUUGACCUCGGAUCAGGUAGGAAUACCCGCUGAACUUAAGCAUAUCAAUAAGCGGAGG